GCCCAAUGGCCCACCCCUAGGACUAGGACAGGUGUUGGCGUUUUUAGGAACAGCAGGGUAUUAUCGGAAAUUCAUCCCUAACUAUAGCGCCCUGGCCAAACCCAUGACCAACCUGACCCGUAAGAACCUUUCCUGCCAAGUAACCUGGACCCCAGAGUGUGAGCAGGCAUUCCAGCACCUGAAAAAUGCACUGAUAAAUGCCCCUGUCUUGGCAGCUCCCAAUCCAACUAAACAUUUUCUUGUUCACACAGACGC